rnacentral:ncRNA from 2 species
CGCUGAGUCAUAUUCCGAGCAAGGCGCAUCUAAGGCAGACGCUAUGAGCCCUUGCCUGACGGAUUCCGUCACGGGGUAUGCCGGGAAACGGGCAUGCCUGCUUUUGUAAAGGAGUAUAUCACAUGAAGAU